GUGGGGAUUUUUUCAUGGUGUAUUUUUUUUUUUCCUGCUGCAGUGUCUGGAUUUCUUUAGUUAAACUUUUCCAUUCUUCAAACCUGAGCCAAGAUGAAAGUGAAGAAGGAAAUCUUCUGCAUGGCUGCAUCUCAAAAAGCAGGGCCCAGAGAUUAUGUAAGUGAGCUUUAGAUGCAGCUUCUUCCACACCAGAAUGGAUUUGCUCUGCCAUGUGCUGCCAUAUCCCUGGUCCAUGCCUGGUGACCCAUGGGUCACCCUGCCAGGGCAGCUGAGCCUGGCAUCUUGAUCGCACUGGAAUGAAGGAGGCUACGCUUUCAAAUAACUAUUUCAGAGGCUAUAAGCAAACAUUCAUGAAGAGAAAAAAGUCCUGGCAGUAACUAGUGAAAUCUCAUUGAAAAUACUGGACACCUUUUUUUUUUUUCCCCUUUCAUCUCACCCUAAAUGUUGACUAACGUUAAAACCAGCGACCUCUCACUUUUGCUGCUUUUCUCAAGUGGAAUGUGAUUUGCCUAUUAUGAAUCUGUGCAUUGAACCUGGAAGCAGCUGAUCUAAGAAAAAGAAAAAAAAAUGAAGAAAGACAAAAGGACUCUGGUCACUCAGGUGGCAAUACAAAACAAAAAAUUACACAUCAUGCCAGAUGGUUGCGUUUGAGAAAUGGAGUGUAGUCAGAAUUAAGGUGGGGGGGGGGGACACAAGGCAACAGUACAUCAGACGUGGAAACAUGAUCAAAAUGUCUUCAGCCUUGUUUCACCAACACUGACACAGGAGAAAACUGCGGUGGGAUAUGAGCAAAGCAUGGAGGGAUACUGCCAGGAGAGGGAAAAAAAAAAAAAAAAAAGGCAUUUUUCAAUAAUGAACUGCUUGACUUCUUCCAGCAAAGACUUAGAAGUUUACAAGAAUCAAGAGACUUUGUUAUUAAAUGGAAGGACUGUGAACCAGUAAGCCUCAGAGCAUUGUAUCAAGCGUCACUGCAAAAUGCCACGUGCGACAGGGUAAAGUAUUGGUAACAGGCUGUGUCAUGGGCUUAGUUAGCAUCAUAGCAGAAUAUGCUGCUGCAGUUAUCUCCAAGGAACCGCUCUCUGCAGUGACACAGGCAGCCAUCAGCUUUGUGCAGUGACUGCAGAUAUCCAGGCAGAGCUUUCUGGUAAUGUGCAGGAGGUGUGACGUUUCCUUACACUGUACCCAUGUUGUUUGUUGAUUGCUUUGCCCGUUUCCUUACAAGUGAUUUCCAGGAGCCAAUGUGGCAGUGCUGUGCCUUAAACUCAGAGUUGCAAGAGGUUGACCUGUAAUGCCACUAAUGGCUGCUGUGCACCUCAGUCACUUUGGACACACUGGGGAGUGUUGGUCAACUUCUGAUGCCAGGGCAAAAUAUUGCUGAAAAUGUAGAAGCUGAGAACUUGACAGGUGCUUCUUGACCUUUCUAUGCAUUUAAUCAUAUCCUGGGUACCUUCAGCUGUGCUUGCAUGCUGCAGCAUUUGGCUGUCACGUGGGGGAAAGUUUGGGAUUGUUUGAUCUGGGGUCAGAAAUCCAUGUUUUACUUAAUUUGGUUUUCUUGCUGUGCUCCAACUGCUUCAUAGCUGUGCACUCUUCUCCUUCAUGAUCUCUCAGGAGAGAACACUGACACGGGCAUAGAAAAGGUCAAUCUGAAAGCUUGCCUGUCUCCCUUAGUUAUACCUCGGUUUACGAUUUUUCUGGCGCUUGGGUUUCAUUACAAGCAUCUUAGGCAUUCUUAGACUGUAUUUUGAUUUGAAUAUUGCGCGGAAAAUCUGUGUCGGUUUCACCAAAAACACAGAGAGACACACAGCUUCCCCCGCCCCGUCUAAAAAUGGAUUCAGCUUCUUUCAGAUACCUUUUAGCAAUGAACUUCAUCCAUGGUAUUAAAGGUAGACUGCAUGGAUAACUGAGUUUAGAGGAUGUGCAGGACCACAUACCUUCCUCUGAUCCUUGUUCUGUUACUAUUACAUCUCAAUUGUGAAUGUUGCAUUCUUUUGUUCUGAAUUUGAAUUUCUGUAAUAAUUGUGGUUCACGAGUUUAUUCUCCACACCAGUGAGAUGUUGGUCGUUGUUUCUGUGUUGUUGUUGUUGUUUUUUUGUUACAAACUGCAUUGUCUUAUUUGAGGAAUAUGUUCACAAGUGAGAAAGAACUGCCUUUAUUAACAAAUGAAAAGCUUGCACUGUCAAAACUGAAAUUGUUCUACCUUUUUAUGUGCAAAUUACAGCUACUGUCAAACCUUCAGCCGCAGUGCAUUUAAUUUGUGGAAAUAUAAAAAUACCUAGCUUAAUAUUAAAAUAUUCUACAUGAAGAAGGAAAUAUUUUUAAGAGAUGUAUUGCG